rnacentral:rRNA from 1 species
UACGGGGGGGGCAAGCGUUGUUCGGAAUUACUGGGCGUAAAGGGCUCGUAGGCGGCCAACUAAGUCAGACGUGAAAUCCCUCGGCUUAACCGGGGAACUGCGUCUGAUACUGGAUGGCUUGAGUUUGGGAGAGGGAUGCGGAAUUCCAGGUGUAGCGGUGAAAUGCGUAGAUAUCGGGAGGAACACCAGUGGCGAAGGCGACUCCCUGGCCUGUUCUUGACGCUGAGGCGCGAAAGCUAGGGGAGCAAACGGG